rnacentral:rRNA from 1 species
UACAGAGGUGGCAAGCGUUGUUCGGAAUUACUGGGCGUAAAGGGCGCGUAGGCGGUUUCGUAAGUCCCGUGUGAAAGCCCCCGGCUCAACUGGGGAAUUGCACGGGAAACUGCGAGGCUUGAGUUCGGGAGAGGGAAGCGGAAUUCCGGGUGUAGCGGUGAAAUGCGUAGAUAUCCGGAGGAACACCGGUGGCGAAGGCGGCUUCCUGGACCGACACUGACGCUGAGGCGCGAAAGCGUGGGGAGCGAACGGG